AUGUGCUGUGAGCUCGAUGAGUAGGGCGGGACACGUGGUAUCCUGUCUGAAUAUGGGGGGACCAUCCUCCAAGGCUAAAUACUCCUGACUGACCGAUAGUGAACCAGUACCGUGAGGGAAAGGCGAAAAGAACCCCGGCGAGGGGAGUGAAAAAGAACCUGAAACCGUGUACGUACAAGCAGUGGGAGCACAGGUUUACCUGUGUGACUGCGUACCUUUUGUAUAAUGGGUCAGCGACUUAUAUUCUGUAGCAAGGUUAACCGAAUAGGGGAGCCGGAGGGAAACCGAGUCUUAAUUGGGCGUUAAGUUGCAGGGUAUAGACCCGAAACCCGGUGAUCUAGCCAUGGGCAGGUUGAAGGUUGGGUAACACUAACUGGAGGACCGAACCGACUAAUGUUGAAAAAUUAGCGGAUGACCUGUGGCUGGGGGUGAAAGGCCAAUCAAACCGGGAGAUAGCUGGUUCUCCCCGAAAGCUAUUUAGGUAGCGCCUCGUGAAUUCAUCUCCGGGGGUAGAGCACUGUUUCGGCUAGGGGGCCAUCCCGGCUUACCAACCCGAUGCAAACUGCGAAUACCGGAGAAUGUUAUCACGGGAGACACACGGCGGGUGCUAACGUCCGUCGUGAAGAGGGAAACAACCCAGACCGCCAGCUAAGGUCCCAAAGUCAUGGUUAAGUGGGAAACGAUGUGGGAAGGCCCAGACAGCCAGGAUGUUGGCUUAGAAGCAGCCAUCAUUUAAAGAAAGCGUAAUAGCUCACUGGUCGAGUCGGCCUGCGCGGAAGAUGUAACGGGGCUAAACCAUGCACCGAAGCUGCGGCAGCGACGCUUAUGCGUUGUUGGGUAGGGGAGCGUUCUGUAAGCCUGUGAAGGUGGCCUGUGAGGGUUGCUGGAGGUAUCAGAAGUGCGAAUGCUGACAUAAGUAACGAUA
rnacentral:rRNA from 1 species